rnacentral:rRNA from 1 species
CCUACGGGCGGCAUCAGUGAGGAAUAUUGGUCAAUGGACGAGAGUCUGAACCAGCCAAGUAGCGUGAAGGAUGACUGCCCUAUGGGUUGUAAACUUCUUUUAUAUGGGAAUAAAAUGUUCCACGUGUGGGAUUUUGUAUGUACCAUAUGAAUAAGGAUCGGCUAACUCCGUGCCAGCAGCCGCGGUAAUACGGAGGAUCCGAGCGUUAUCCGGAGUUAUUGGGUUUAAAGGGAGCGUAGGUGGAUUGUUAAGUCAGUUGUGAAAGUUUGCGGCUCAACCGUAAAAUUGCAGUUGAAACUGGCAGUCGUGAGUACAGUAGAGGUGGGCGGAAUUCGUGGUGUAGCGGUGAAAUGCUUAGAUAUCACGAAGAACUCCGAUUGCGAAGGCAGCUCACUGGACUGCAACUGACACUGAGGCUCGAAAGUGUGGGUAUCAAACAGGAUUAGAUACCCCUGUAGUC